rnacentral:rRNA from 1 species
UACAGAGGGUGCGAGCGUUAAUCGGAAUUACUGGGCGUAAAGCGUGCGUAGACGGUUACGUAAGUCGGAUGUGAAAGCCCCGGGCUCAACCUGGGAAUUGCAUUCGAGACUGCGUAGCUAGGAUGCGGAAGAGGGAAGCGGAAUUUCCGGUGUAGCGGUGAAAUGCGUAGAUAUCGGAAGGAACACCAGCGGCGAAGGCGGGUUGCUGGGCUGAUACUGACGCUGAGGCGCGAAAGCCAGGGAGCGAACGGG